UGACUUCACAGCCAAGUCUCUCCAUUUUCCCGCAUUCUCUUUCAUCUCUUUGCUCUUCUCUCCUUCCAUCACUUCCUUGAUGCUAAACUCAAUCUCCUCUCUUUUGCAAAUGCCACUUUCUUUCUCUGCUUUCACACGAACCCCAACCUUCCAUACAUCUUGUAUAUACUUUGCAUUCAUUGGUUGAUCAGUCCAUUGAGGCAUAGCCACCAUGGGAACCCCUAAACUCAAACCCUCCAUGGUUGAGUUCCAGCCACAGUGAGUCAUGAAACAACCGAUGGCUUUGUUUGACAGAACUUGAAGCUGAGGACUCCACUUCAAGACCAAGCUCUUGUCUUUAUCCACUGUUUCAAGAA